AGUGAACGCUGGCGGUAGGCCUAACACAUGCAAGUCGAACGGCAGCACAGUAAGAGCUUGCUCUUACGGGUGGCGAGUGGCGGACGGGUGAGGAAUACAUCGGAAUCUACUUUUUCGUGGGGGAUAACGUAGGGAAACUUACGCUAAUACCGCAUACGACCUACGGGUGAAAGCAGGGGAUCUUCGGACCUUGCGCGAUUGAAUGAGCCGAUGUCGGAUUAGCUAGUUGGCGGGGUAAAGGCCCACCAAGGCGACGAUCCGUAGCUGGUCUGAGAGGAUGAUCAGCCACACUGGAGCUGAGACACGGUCCAGACUCCUACGGGAGGCAACAGUGGGGAAUAUUGGACAAUGGGCGCAAGCCUGAUCCAGCCAUACCGCGUGGGUGAAGAAGGCCUUCGGGUUGUAAAGCCCUUUUGUUGGGAAAGAAAAGCAGCAGGUUAAUACCCCGCUGUUCUGACGGUACCCAAAGAAUAAGCACCGGCUAACUUCGUG
rnacentral:rRNA from 1 species